rnacentral:lncRNA from 1 species
GUUUGGGGGAAUUAGAGAGAGGGAAUGGGAGUUGAAGGGAUGUUUUACUGUUUAAUCAUUUGUUAGCUUUGGUGUGAAUGGAAUCUUAAGAAAGAUUGACGAUGAAAAUUAAAGAUCAAUUUACUCCAUUUUAAUAAGGCUUCGUUUGUAUGUAGACAUUCGGAGGCUUGGAUUGUGUUGGUUUCAAUGCCUCACAGGAUAUUGAUAUUGAGAUCGAAUGCCAACACUUUUGUUUGGAUGUUUAGGCAUUUGGAGUCAACACUUGAUAUUGAGAUGGAAUGCCAAAUUAUGUUCGGUUGGCUAAAGAAUCGUCUAGUGUCAGCAUUCUUGAGUUGCAACCCUCAGUAGCAUCAUGCUCUCCCGCAUAGAUAGAUUUCAUUUGAAAAAACAAAGAUCGUAUAUGCAAUUGCAGAUAGAACAUCACUCAUAAAAAAUAAAAAAUAUGGGUAUGUCGUUCA